GAUGAACGCUGGCGGCGUGCCUAACACAUGCAAGUCGAACGGACAGGCCCUGCUCUUGCGCCGCGCUCGAUUGCCGCACGGGUGAGUAAAACGCGUGUAUCCCGCCCCUGACUUUGUGAUAACUCCAGGAAACUCCGGCUCAUAUCCGAUAGGAGCUCUUGCUGCACGGUGGUGGUUGGAAAGUUUCGGCGGUUGUGGCUGGUCUCGCGGCUUAUCAGCCUGUUGGUGAGGUAGGGGCUUACCAAGGUUUCGACGGGUAGCCGGCCUGAGAGGGUGACCGGGCACAUUGGGACUGAGGUACGGCCCAGACUCCUACGGGAGGCAGCGGUGGAGAAUAUUGCAGAGUGGGCGGAAGCCUGAUGCAGCAACGCCGCGUGCGUGAUGACGGCCUUCGGGUUGUAAACCGCUUUCGCCUGUAACGAGGCGUGAGUGACGGUAAUGGGUAAAGAAGCACCGGCUAACUACGUG
rnacentral:rRNA from 1 species